rnacentral:rRNA from 1 species
CGGUGGCGAUGCGCUUAGGGGUAACACCCGUUCCCAUCCCGAACACGAUGGUUAAGACCUAAGCGGCCGAUGGUACUUUACUGGAGACGGUACGGGAGAGUAGGUGGCUGCCGGGCU